rnacentral:lncRNA from 1 species
ACUAAACUAAGUUUAAAAACUUUUGUCCUAAAACUCUUAUCCAAAUAUUAUAUCUUCCAUCAACAAAGUUUUUGUUUUUUGAAUCCCACAUCCUUCAACCAUUUCCAAACUAUAAAUUAAGUCCUUUUACUAAACUACUACAACUAAAAAACUUAACUGUCAACUUUAAAUUUUAAUCCCUAAUCACUAAAACCUCUAAACUACCUCUUGAACUACCAUCAUCCUAUAAUAGAUCUCAUAGUAUAUAACCUUUUGUUUUUCUAUAAAAUAUUUUUCUAUAUGGGAAAAAAAUAUCAUAAGCUUAUAAAAAGAGGAUUCAUGUAAUGUAAUAUUUCUCCAAUGUAGUUACAAAUUUAUGGUGAAUAUGUUCUUCCCAAUUUAAUUAUGUGGACACUGUUCUUGUAAAUUUGUUCUUUAUCCUUGCUCGCUCCUAGAUGAUAUCAAAUUUCUAAAACAUGAAACCUGACUGCACAUAUCGGAUUCAUCCAACC